GCUUUGGUGGUGCAGUAGUAGAAUUCUCACCUUCCACGUGGGAGACCUGGGUUUGAUUCCCUGCCAGUGCA
rnacentral:tRNA from 1 species